AGGACGCUGAAGACCCGAGAUCCAGAUGGGCUGGCUCUCUUGGUUCCUAGACCCUUGACGCUUGAGGUCUUUGGAUGCCACCAUAAGAGUUGCGAGUUCCUAUGUGUUGCUGCCUUGCUGUGUCUGGAAAGCACUGUCUCCUUGUGGUCUUCCUCCACUCUGACUCACGCAGUCUUUCUGCCCUCUCUUCCAUGAUGACCCCUGGACUUUGUAUGGAGGAAAGAACAAAAUAUUGCCCCUCCAGAUAACAUGGAAGAGAAAGCUGGCUGACCCCAUAGGCUGUUGGAAUGGGCUCCCAAGUGGAAUUGUGAAAUCCUGUUCUCUGGCUAGCUCAUCUGUCUGGCAUGUGAGGAUAACGACGGGAUAAGGGUGCAGGGGAAUGAAGAUGACCUCUCCAACUCCAUCCAGUCCUGAAACUGUCUCAUUUCUGCAGUGGAUUGCUCACUGUUGGGUAACAGAGAAACAAAAACAUUUCUUAUCAAGGAGACAUUUUACAAAUAAGAAUUGUAAUUCCUGGAAAUUUUAUUAGAAUUGAUGAAUAAAAGAUCUGUAAUGCA